rnacentral:rRNA from 1 species
UGGCUAAUGCCGGAUACGCAUGGAACCGCAUGGUUCCGUUGUGAAAGGCGCUGUAAGGCGCCACUAAAAGAUGAGGGUGCGGAACAUUAGUUAGUUGGUGAGGUAAUGGCCCACCAAGACUAUGAUGUUUAGCCGGGUCGAGAGACUGAACGGCCACAUUGGGACUGAGAUACGGCCCAAACUCCUACGGGAGGCAGCAGCC